GCAUUAAUGGGGUAGUGGUAACCUGGGUCGUUGCCAUACCCGUAUUUGGCUAUUGGAUUCGACCCGCCGGGGGUUCGAUUCCCUCUUAAUGCA